rnacentral:rRNA from 1 species
UACGAAGGGUGCUAGCGUUAUUCGGAAUUACUGGGCGUAAAGGGUGUGUAGGCGGCUUGUUAAGUUGAUUGUUAAAUUUCCUGGCUCAACCAGGAACCAGCGAUCAAUACUGGCAGGCUAGAGGACAAGAGAGAGAAGUGGAAUUCUCGGAGUAGCGGUAAAAUGCGUAGAUCUCGAGAGGAACACCGAUAGCGAAGGCAGCUUCUUGGCUUGUAUCUGACGCGGAAACACGAAAGCGUGGGGAGCAAACAGG